ACGAACGCUGGCGGCGUGCUUAACACAUGCCAGUCGAACGGAAAGGCCCUGCUUUUGUGGGGUGCUCGAGUGGCGAACGGGUGAGUAACACGUGAGUAACCUGCCCUUGACUUUGGGAUAACUUCAGGAAACUGGGGCUAAUACCGGAUAGGAGCUCCUGCUGCAUGGUGGGGGUUGGAAAGUUUCGGCGGUUGGGGAUGGACUCGCGGCUUAUCAGCUUGUUGGUGGGGUAGUGGCUUACCAAGGCUUUGACGGGUAGCCGGCCUGAGAGGGUGACCAGCCACAUUGGGACUGAGAUACGGCCCAGACUCCUACGGGAGGCAGCAGUGGGGAAUAUUGCACAAUGGGCGGAAGCCUGAUGCAGCAACGCCGCGUGCGGGAUGACGGCCUUCGGGUUGUAAACCGCUUUCGCCUGUGACGAAGCGUGAGUGACGGUAAUGGGUAAAGAAGCACCGGCUAACUACGUG
rnacentral:rRNA from 1 species